AUGUGGAUAAGGUUUUGUUUGGUUAUAAGGGUUGGAGAUAUAGCGAUACAAAGAAAAAAGAGGAAACGGCCGCUAUUCUGCUCACAGCAUCACCUUAAACUGUCCAACUCCUCUGUUCGUGUUCGUACAACUUACAAGCCCGCACACUCCCUCCGAAUUUUGUUUGUUGUGUUAGAGAUAAUUCAUGAAAUUAAUUGUGAUAUUGUUAAGAUUGUUGGUUCAUUGUUGAGAUUAAAACUAGUUUGUGUUGAACUUGUGAUGUUGUGUUGUGUUUGA